rnacentral:rRNA from 1 species
UACGUAGGGUGCGAGCGUUAAUCGGAAUUACUGGGCGUAAAGCGUGCGCAGGCGGUUCUGUAAGUCAGAUGUGAAAUCCCCGGGCUUAACCUGGGAAUGGCAUUUGGGACUGCAAGGCUGGAGUUUGGCAGAGGAGACUGGAAUUCCUGGUGUAGCAGUGAAAUGCGUAGAUAUCAGGAGGAAUACCGAUGGCGAAGGCGGCGACCUGGGCCAAUACUGACGCUGAGGUGCGAAAGCGUGGGGAGCAAACAGG